rnacentral:pre_miRNA from 1 species
CAACUACUCCCUCUGUCCCAAAUUUCUUGUCUUAGAUUUGUCUAGAUACAGAUGUAUCUGUGACUUGAUACAUCCGCAUCUAGACAAAUCUAAGACAAGAAUUUUGGGACGGAGGGAGUACUUU